rnacentral:rRNA from 1 species
UACGUAGGGUGCGAGCGUUAAUCGGAAUUACUGGGCGUAAAGCGUGCGCAGGCGGUUCGUUAAGUCAGCUGUGAAAGCCCCGGGCUCAACCUGGGAACUGCGGUUGAAACUGGCGAACUAGAAUCUGGCAGAGGGGGGUGGAAUUCCACGUGUAGCAGUGAAAUGCGUAGAGAUGUGGAGGAACACCGAUGGCGAAGGCAGCCCCCUGGGCUAAGAUUGACGCUCAGGCACGAAAGCGUGGGGAGCAAACAGG